rnacentral:rRNA from 1 species
UCCGUAGGCGGUGUGGCAAGUCGGUAGUGAAAUCUCUCGGCUUAACUGAGAGGCUGCUGCCGAAACUGCCAUGCUCGAGUGCGAGAGAGGCGAGUGGAAUUGCGGGUGUAGCGGUGAAAUGCGUAGAUAUCCGCAGGAACAUCCGAGGCGAAAGCGGCUCGCUGGAUCGCAACUGACGCUGAGGGACGAAAGCUAGGGGAGCAAACAGGAUUAGAUACCCUGGUAGUCCUAGCCCUAAACCAUCAGGACUUGGGGUUUGCCCUGUACGGGGCAAGUCCCGGAGCUAACGCGUUAAGUCCUGCGGCCUGGGGAGUACGGUCGCAAGGCUGAA